rnacentral:rRNA from 1 species
CGCGUAGGCGGUUGAGUAAGUCAAAUGUGAAAUCCCCGGGCUUAACCUGGGAACUGCAUUCGAUACUGCUUAACUAGAGUAUGGUAGAGGGAAGUGGAAUUCCGGGUGUAGCGGUGAAAUGCGUAGAUAUCCGGAGGAACACCAGUGGCGAAGGCGACUUCCUGGGCCAAUACUGACGCUGAGGUGCGAAAGCGUGGGGAGCAAAACA